AGGUCUCUUGCCCUGCGCUCCCGGCUCAAGAGCGCCAUGCGCCCAGCAAGUCUCCCUCACUCCUGGGACCGGCUCACCGAGUUUUAAGACCUACGGAGCUGGGUCGACACAAAAUCCCGCAGCGCCACAACCUGGAGACACGGUGACAGAGAUGUGGCCACACCGACCAUUUAAAGCGAUUCCAACUCCUGUGAAGCCUGGCUGGAAAGGCGCGGCUUCCAUCCCGGCAGCCUGGAGGAGGAUCGAGCAGGGGCUGUGCCUGGGCUUGCCUGGACUUGUUCAGAGCAGGGCUGCUCCCCUCGGUAAUUGCACAGAUUGGGGGCUUUGGGAGACUUUGCUAGAACCUGGAAGCCACGGCCGGGGGCUACUGGGCCCCGGGGUCUGCGCACCUGCUCGCCGUGGAGCUCAGACUCCUAACUCCUGAGUGUUGAAAUCACAUGUCCAGCAAGAGGCUUGCCUGGCACGCACAGGCCCCCUGACUAGAUCCCCAGCACCACAUAACCCAGGAGUGUGUCCAGGCAAUUAACCACUGAUAGACGCCAACGUCUGCAACACAGCAGACUCCACCCAUCUGUAGUCUCUGUGAAGGGAUCCUGCCUCAGCUUCCAAAGACUGCCUGGGUUCGUAGACGCAUCCCUCCCAGCCUAUGCUGUGUGCCUGCCUUACAUCUGUCUCCAUCUGCCUGUCCGCCAGGAUGCUUGUUACUGCAUAGGCUCCGCUGGUCCUUUAAGAUUCACCUGCACAGGCCCUGGGGUUUCUGGGGAUGAUUCUUUGUGUUGUUGUUGCUAGUG